GACGAACGCUGGCGGCGUGCCUAAUACAUGCAAGUAGAACGCAGUUGCGAACGGGUGAGUAACGCGUAGGUAACUGCCUCAUAGCGGGGGAUAACUAUUUGAAACGAUAGCUAAUACCGCAUACUGUGAGAUGGACCUGCGUUGUAUUAGCUAGUUGGUGAGGUAAAGGCUCACCAAGCCGACGAUCUCUAGCUGGUCUGAGAGGAUGACCAGCCACACUGGGACGGAGACACGGCCCAGACUCCUACGGGAGGCAGCAGUGGGGAAUAUUGCGCAAUGGGGGCAACCCUGACGCAGCCAUGCCGCGUGAAUGAAGAAGGCCUUCGGGUUGUAAAGUUCUUUCGGUAGCGAGGCGUUAACUACAGAAGAAGCACCGGCUAACUCCGUGCCAGCAGCCGCGGUAAUUC
rnacentral:rRNA from 1 species